rnacentral:rRNA from 1 species
UACGUAGGGGGCGAGCGUUGUCCGGAAUUAUUGGGCGUAAAGAGCGUGUAGGCUGUUCGGUAAGUCUGCCGUGAAAACCUGAGGCUCAACCUCGGGCGUGCGGUGGAUACUGCCGGGCUAGAGGACGGUAGAGGCGAGUGGAAUUCCCGGUGUAGCGGUGAAAUGCGCAGAUAUCAGGAAGAACACCCGUGGCGAAGGCGGCUCUCUGGGACGGUACUGACGCUGAGACGCGAAAGCGUGGGGGAGCGAACAGG